AGUGAUAAUUGCCUAGGAGAUACACCUGUUUUCAUGCCGAACACAGAAGUUAAGCCCUAGAACGCCGGAAGUAGUUGGGGGUUGCCCCCUGUGAGAUAAGGUAGUCGCUUAGCA
rnacentral:rRNA from 1 species